GACGAACGCUGGCGGCGUGCUUAACACAUGCAAGUCGAACGAAGUGGCGAACGGGUGAGUAAUACGUGGGUAACCUGCCCUCCUUUUUGGGAUAAGCCUUGGAAACGGGGUCUAAUACCGAAUAAAGGGGGAUGGGCUCGCGGCCUAUCAGAUGGUUGGUGGGGUGAUGGCCUACCAAGGCGGUGCCGGGUGGCCGGCCUGAGAGGGUGACCGGCAACAGUGGGACUGAGAUACGGCCCAGACGACUACGGGAGGGAGCAGUGGGUGAUAUUGCACAAUGGGCGAAAGCCUGAUGCAGCGACGCCGCGUGGGGGAUUAAGGCUUUCGGGUUGUAAACCUCUUGCGGAAUGGAACGGGUAGGUGGAGAAGAAGCGCCGGCUAACUACGUGCCAGCAGCCGCGGUAAUAC
rnacentral:rRNA from 1 species